rnacentral:rRNA from 1 species
GGCUCAGGAUGAACGCUAGCGGCAGGCCUAAUACAUGCAAGUCGAACGGUYUSUAGCAAUAGGAAUAGUGGCGCACGGGUGCGUAACGCGUAACCAACCUACCUGAAUYUGGGGGAUAGCCCGCCGAAAGGCGGAUUAAUACCGCAUAAAACYRCARWUUGGCAUCAAGUAACAGUUAAAGAUUUAUUGGAUUCAGAUGGGGUUGCGUGCCAUUAGCUAGUUGGGGAGGUAACGGCUCACCAAGGCGACGAUGGCUAGGGGAGCUGAGAGGCUGGUCCCCCACACGGGCACUGAGAUACGGGCCCGACUCCUACGGGAGGCAGCAGUAGGGAAUAUUGGGCAAUGGWCGAGAGUCUGACCCAGCCAUGCCGCGUGCAGGAUGAAGGCUUUYUGAGUCGUAAACUGCUUUUAUCAGGGAAGAAAAAAGGGCAUGCGUGC